CCGACCCUGCUCGUGCGCCCUGCCCAGGGCCCCGCAGUGCGCGCUGACCCGCAGGAGGCUGUGGAAGAAGGGCCGUUCCAGCCAACGGCGUGAGGCCGCGGGCAACCCCGGGGUCUGGUAGAGGCUCCAGUGGACUCCGACCUGUCCAAGUGCAGACAAUGGACACACCAGCCUCGGCGGAGCGGCCAUCGGGAGACACUUAUUUGUCCGAAUUGGAGCUGUUGGGAAAUCCUGAUGCUACAAUUACUGCUGAUGUGAAGAACCAGUCUGUCUCAUUGAGGACUCAAGCUUCCUCCCAGCAUCUGUAAACCUGGAGGGUCAGACCCUUCACCGUUCCUGCGGGGCACCUCCCCCCAGCAGACUGCUGUGUGUCCCUGCCCCAGCCCAUGACACUUGGCAGUUCUCCCUCCCCCGUGUUUCAGCCCCAGAAAUCCCAGGAUGUCAGAGCUAGAGGAGACCCGAGAGAGUAGUGGCCCUCAGGCUGGUCCAGGAUCUUCAGUGGGCAUUAUGCAGGAGUUCCUGGCCAAGACGGUCAGAACCAUCCACUUGUUCUGGCCUUUCCAUAUUGAGUCAGGUGACUUGAGUCCCAGAAAAGCUAACUGACUUCAAGCUGACACAGUGGCCUGGUGUCAGGGCUCUCGGAGCCGAGUCUGUCAGGCAUUUGAUUGCCUCUGGUUUUGGGUUUGCCAUGCGCCCUUUCCCCCUAGGAGUUUUCUAGGUCAGCAGGGUGUGGGCCUGGACAGGGCGGGCUGCCACAUUGGCUCUGCUCACAGUGGAGUCAGGAGUGGGAGCCCAGGUGUAGUUAUUGCCACUCUGGCCACAGGCAGAUAUAACAGCCUCUGGCUCUAUGCUUACCUCACUGAGUUUUUACCACAGGCCUCAGGGUUUUUUUCAAUUUCGUUGUUUUUACGGAUGAAAUCGAUGCUGAAAGGUGGGAGACCCACCGUGCUGGCACACCAGGAGGGUGCAGCAGAAUUUGAACCCAGGCCUUGGCUCCUGACUUCCCUGAGCAGGUUCCAGUCCUCACUGCUCCCUUUCUGCAAGGAGUCGGGAAUUCCUGGUUCUUGGCUGGGAUUGGGUGGCUCCGGGCCUGGUGUCUGACUGACAUUCUCUGACCCCAGGUUUUGACAUUCUGUCUUCAUCUUGCUUGAGAAACAAGGGACGUGUAAUAAACAGAUUUUAAAUGUGUGA